GAUGAACGCUAGCUACAGGCUUAACACAUGCAAGUCGAGGGGAAACGAUAUUGGAAGCUUGCUUCCGAUAGGCGUCGACCGGCGCACGGGUGAGUAACGCGUAUCCAACCUGCCCACCACUUGGGGAUAACCUUGCGAAAGUAAGACUAAUACCCAAUGACGUCUCUAGAAGACAUCUGAAAGGGAUUAAAGAUUUAUCGGUGAUGGAUGGGGAUGCGUCUGAUUAGCUUGUUGGCGGGGUAACGGCCCACCAAGGCGACGAUCAGUAGGGGUUCUGAGAGGAAGGUCCCCACAUUGGAACUGAGACACGGUCCAAACUCCUACGGGAGGCAGCAGUGAGGAAUAUUGGUCAAUGGGCGAGAGCCUGAACCAAGCCAAGUAGCGUGCAGGAUGACGGCCCUA
rnacentral:rRNA from 1 species